rnacentral:rRNA from 1 species
GAUGAACGCUGGCGGCGUGCCUAAUACAUGCAAGUCGAGCGGAGGAGUAGCAAUACUUCUUAGCGGCGAACGGGUGAGUAACGCGUUGGUGACCUGCCCCGAAGAGUGGGAUAGCAGUUCGAAAGGACUGAUAAUACCGCAUGAGUUCUCUAGGUUUAGAAGCUAGAGAAGAAAGCCGAAAGGCGCUUUGGGAGGGGCCUGCGACCCAUCAGCUAGUUGGUAGGGUAACGGCCUACCAAGGCGAUGACGGGUAGGGGACCUGAGAGGGUGCCCCCCACAAUGGAACUGAAACACGGUCCAUACACCUACGGGUGGCAGCAGUAGGGAAUAUUGCAUAAUGGGCGAAAGCCUGAUGCAGCAACGCCGCGUGUGCGAUGAAGGCCUUCGGGUCGUAAAGCACUUUUGGGGAGGAUGAGGAAGGACUGUACUCCCCGAAUAAGCCUCGGCUAACUACGUGCCAGCCGCCGCGGUAACAC